rnacentral:rRNA from 1 species
GUGACCUCCAAAUCAGGUAGGACUACCCGCUGAACUUAAGCAUAUCAAUAAGCGGAGGAAAGAACUAACAGGAUCCCCUAGUACUGCGAGUGAAGCGGGAAAGCUCAAUUUAAAUCG